rnacentral:rRNA from 1 species
GAUCCUGGCUCAGGAUGAACGCUGGCGGCAUGCCUAAUACAUGCAAGUCGAACGGACCGAAGGGAAAGCUUGCUUUUCCUGAAGUCAGUGGCGAACGGGUGAGUAGCACGUAGGUAACCUGCCCAUGUGCCCGGGACAACGCCUGGAAACGGGUGCUAAAACCGGAUAGGUAGAGAGAUCGCAUGAACUUUCUAUUAAAGGGGCUACGGCCCUCGAACAAUGGAGUGGACCGUCGCGGGUGGCAUUAGUCUAGUUGGG